UAUACAAAGACUUUCAAGGACGUGGCCACCCCAUGGUAGAAGAACUUAAUCUCACUGCCUGAUUGUUAUGCCACCAAAAGAGAGCUCUUUGAGAUUCCAUAUUCAGACACCAGCUGAGACUUCAUUUUUGUUGCAAGCUGCAGAUCAGGACAGAGUUUAGGAUGUAAAGAGCAGCUUUCAGGUAAUGGAAGUGAAACCCAAACAAAUGCAUUGAACAGCAUAAAAUGGAUGAAGGGAACGAACACCAUUGGAAGUUAAGACUCAAACACCAUAAGCAGAACUCAUAUAUCAAGAAAGAGACUGGGCAAAGUUGGAUUCAAUAUCAAGCACGAGUACUUCACUGAGAUAGUACCAUUCAUAUGACACUACCAUGGUAAAUUACCAGAGUUUUCUACCUCCAGUGUUAAUAAAUGAUAAUUGAAAUGACACUUUUUUAUCAA